rnacentral:tRNA from 1 species
GGCCCUGUGGCACAAUGGUAUCGCGUCUGACUCCAGAUCAGAAGGCUGGGUGUUCGAGUCACUCCGGGGUCA